rnacentral:rRNA from 1 species
GACAGAGGGUGCAAACGUUGCUCGGAAUUACUGGGCGUAAAGCGUGCGCAGGCGGUUGUGUAAGACAGAUGUGAAAUCCCCGGGCUCAACCUGGGAACUGCAUUUGUGACUGCACAGCUGGAGUGCGGCAGAGGGGGAUGGAAUUCCGCGUGUAGCAGUGAAAUGCGUAGAUAUGCGGAGGAACACCGAUGGCGAAGGCAAUCCCCUGGGCCUGCACUGACGCUCAUGCACGAAAGCGUGGGGAGCAAACAGG